GGCAGCUAUACAUGCAAGUCGAACGGUGAUAGUGAUAUCAUAGUGGCGCACGGGUGCGUAACACGUAUGCAACCUACCUUAUACUUAGGGAUAGCCUUUGGAAACGGAGAUUAAUACCUAAUAGUACAUUUGACUGGCAUCGGUUAACUGUUAAAGAUUUAUUGGUAUAAGAUGGGCAUGCGUCCAAUUAGUUAGUUGGUGAGGUAAUGGCUCACCAAGACGAUGAUUGGUAGGGGAACUGAGAGGUUAAUCCCCCACACUGGCACUGAGAUACGGGCCAGACUCCUACGGGAGGCAGCAGUAGGGAAUAUUGGGCAAUGGAGGGAACUCUGACCCAGCCAUGCCGCGUGCAGGAUGAAGGCGUUAUGCGUUGUAAACUGCUUUUAUAUAGGAAGAAAUAGUCCUUGCGAGGAAAGUUGACGGUACUAUAUGAAUAAGCACCGGCUAACUCCGUGCCAGCAGCCGCGGUAAUACGGAGGGUGCAAGCGUUGUCCGGAUUUAUUGGGUUUAAAGGGUGCGUAGGCGGUUUAUUAAGUCAGUGGUGAAAGACGGUCGCUCAACGAUUGCAGUGCCAUUGAUACUGGUAGACUUGAGUAUGAUUGAGGUAGCUGGAAUGGAUAGUGUAGCGGUGAAAUGCAUAGAUAUUAUCCAGAACACCAAUUGCGUAGGCAAGUUACUAAGUCAUAACUGACGCUGAGGCACGAAAGUGUGGGUAUCAAACAGGAUUAGAUACCCUGGUAGUCCACACUGUAAACGAUGAUAACUAACUGUUGGCUUUAGGGUCAGUGGUACAGAGAAAUCGUUAAGUUAUCCACCUGGGGAGUACGCCGGCAACGGUGAAACUCAA
rnacentral:rRNA from 1 species